GCCCCGGUAAACGGCGGCCGUAACUAUAACGGUCCUAAGGUAGCGAAAUUCCUUGUCGGGUAAGUUCCGACCUGCACGAAUGGCGUAAUGAUGGCCAGGCUGUCUCCACCCGAGACUCAGUGAAAUUGAACUCGCUGUGAAGAUGCAGUGUACCCGCGGCAAGACGGAAAGACCCCGUGAACCUUUACUAUAGCUUGACACUGAACAUUGAGCCUUGAUGUGUAGGAUAGGUGGGAGGCUUUGAAGUGUGGACGCCAGUCUGCAUGGAGCCGACCUUGAAAUACCACCCUUUAAUGUUUGAUGUUCUAACGUGGACCCGUAAUCCGGGUUGCGGACAGUGUCUGGUGGGUAGUUUGACUGGGGCGGUCUCCUCCUAAAGAGUAACGGAGGAGCACGAAGGUUGGCUAAUCCUGGUCGGACAUCAGGAGGUUAGUGCAAUGGCAUAAGCCAGCUUGACUGCGAGCGUGACGGCGCGAGCAGGUGCGAAAGCAGGUCAUAGUGAUCCGGUGGUUCUGAAUGGAAGGGCCAUCGCUCAACGGAUAAAAGGUACUCCGGGGAUAACAGGCUGAUACCGCCCAAGAGUUCAUAUCGACGGCGGUGUUUGGCACCUCGAUGUCGGCUCAUCACAUCCUGGGGCUGAAGUAGGUCCCAAGGGUAUGGCUGUUCGCCAUUUAAAGUGGUACGCGAGCUGGGUUUAGAACGUCGUGAGACAGUUCGGUCCCUAUCUGCCGUGGGCGCUGGAGAACUGAGGGGGGCUGCUCCUAGUACGAGAGGACCGGAGUGGACGCAUCACUGGUGUUCGGGUUGUCAUGCCAAUGGCACUGCCCGGUAGCUAAAUGCGGAAGAGAUAAGUGCUGAAAGCAUCUAAGCACGAAACUUGCCCCGAGAUGAGUUCUCCCUGAGACUUAGAGUCUCCUGAAGGAACGUUGAAGACGACGACGUUGAUAGGCCGGGUGUGUAAGCGCAGCGAUGCGUUGAGCUAACCGGUACUAAUGAACCGUGAGGCUUAACCUUACA
rnacentral:rRNA from 1 species